AGAGCGAACGCUGGCGGCAGGCCUAACACAUGCAAGUCGAACGAACUCUUCGGAGUUAGUGGCGGACGGGUGAGUAACACGUGGGAACGUGCCUUUAGGUUCGGAAUAACUCAGGGAAACUUGUGCUAAUACCGAGUGUGCCCUUCGGGGGAAAGAUUUAUCGCCUUUAGAGCGGCCCGCGUCUGAUUAGCUUGUUGGUGGGGUAAUGGCCCACCAAGGCUACGAUCAGUAGCUGGUCUGAGAGGAUGACCAGCCACAUUGGGACUGAGACACGGCCCAAACUCCUACGGGAGGCAGCAGUGGGGAAUCUUGCGCAAUGGGCGAAAGCCUGACGCAGCCAUGCCGCGUGUAUGAUGAAGGUCUUAGGAUUGUAAAUACUUUCACCGGUGAAGAUAAUGACUGUAGCCGGAGAAGAAGCCCGGCUAACUCGUGCCAGCAGCCGC
rnacentral:rRNA from 1 species